rnacentral:rRNA from 1 species
UGGAUCCUACGGGACGCAGCAGUGGGGAAUAUUGCGCAAUGGGGGCAACCCUGACGCAGCAACGCCGCGUGAUUGAAGAAGGCCUUCGGGUUGUAAAGAUCUUUAAUCGGGGACGAAUUUUGACGGUACCCGAAGAAAAAGCAUCGGCUAACUCCGUGCCAGCAGCCGCGGUAAUACGGAGGAUGCGAGCGUUAUCCGGAUUUAUUGGGUUUAAAGGGUGCGUAGGCGGAAUGCCAAGUCAGCGGUAAAAUCGCGGGGCUCAACCUCGCUCCGCCGUUGAAACUGGCGUUCUUGAGUGGGCGAGA